GUUUCCAUAGUGUAGAUAGGUUAUCACGUUCGCCUCACACGCGAAAGGUCCCCCGGUUCUCGAAACCGGGUGGAAACA